rnacentral:rRNA from 1 species
UACGUAGGGGGCAAGCGUUGUCCGGAAUUAUUGGGCGUAAAGGGCGCGUAGGCGGUUUGACAAGUCUGAUGUGAAAUCUCUGGGCUCAACCCAGAGUCUGCAUUAGAAACUGUCGGGCUUGAGUAUGGGAGAGGUGAGUGGAAUUUCCGGUGUAGCGGUGAAAUGCGUAGAUAUCGGAAGGAACACCUGUGGCGAAAGCGGCUCACUGGACCAUAACUGACGCUGAGGCGCGAAAGCUAGGGGAGCAAACAGG